rnacentral:rRNA from 1 species
GAUAAACGCUGGCGGCGCACAUAAGACAUGCAAGUUGAACGGACUUAAUCGAAAUAUUUAUGUUUUGAAGCGGUUAGUGGCGGACUGGUGAGUAACGCGUAAGGAACCUGCCUAUUAGAGGGGAAUAACAGUGAGAAAUCAUUGCUAAUACCGCAUAUGCCAUAGAUAUCACAUGAUAACAGUGGGAAAGGAGCAAUCCGCUAAUAGAUGGCCUUGCGUCUGAUUAGAUAGUUGGUGGGGUAACGGCCUACCAAGUCGACGAUCAGUAGCCGGACUGAGAGGUUGAACGGCCACAUUGGGACUGAGAUACGGCCCAGACUCCUACGGGAGGCAGCAGUCGGGAAUAUUGCGCAAUGGAGGAAACUCUGACGCAGUGACGCCGCGUAUAGGAAGAAGGUUUUCGGAUUGUAAACUAUUGUCGUUAGGGAAGAGAAAGGACAGUACCUAAGGAGGAAGCUCCGGCUAACUACGUG